rnacentral:piRNA from 1 species
ACAAAAGAAAGGCCUAAAACUCU